rnacentral:rRNA from 1 species
GACGAACGCUGGCGGCGUGCCUAAUACAUGCAAGUUGAACGCUAAAGCUUUAACUGGUGCUUGCACCGACCUAAGUUUUUAGAGUAGCGGACGGGUGAGUAACACGUGGGUAACCUACCCAUCAGAGGGGGAUAACACUUGGAAACAGGUGCUAAUACCGCAUAAUUCCUUUUACCGCAUGGUAAAAGGCUGAAAGGCGCUUCUGGUGUCACUGAUGGAUGGACCCGCGGUGCAUUAGCUAGUCGGUGGGGUAACGGCCUACCGAGGCGAUGAUGCAUAGCCGACCUGAGAGGGUGAUCGGCCACAUUGGGACUGAGACACGGCCCAAACUCCUACGGGAGGCAGCAGUAGGGAAUCUUCGGCAAUGGACGAAAGUCUGACCGAGCAACGCCGCGUGAGCGAAGAAGGUUUUCGGAUUGUAAAGCACUGUUGUAUAGGAAGAAUAAGGUAAACAGGGAAUGGUUUACUGAUGACGGUACUAUACGAGGAAGUCACGGCUAACUACGUGCCAGCAGCCGCAGUAACAC